rnacentral:rRNA from 2 species
ACCUCGCGAGAGCAAGCGGACCUCAUAAAGUGCGUCGUAGUCCGGAUUGGAGUCUGCAACUCGACUCCAUGAAGUCGGAAUCGCUAGUAAUCGUGGAUCAGAAUGCCACGGUGAAUACGUUCCCGGGCCUUGUACACACCGCCCGUCACACCAUGGGAGUGGGUUGCAAAAGAAGUAGGUAGCUUAACCUUCGGGAGGGCGCUUACCACUUUGUGAUUCAUGACUGGGGUGAAGUCGUAACAAGGUAACCGUAGGGGAACCUGCGGUUGGA